rnacentral:rRNA from 1 species
CCUACGGGAGGCAGCAGUGAGGAAUAUUGGUCAAUGGGCGGAAGCCUGAACCAGCCAAGUAGCGUGCGGGAUGAAGGCCCUACGGGUCGUAAACCGCUUUUGCACGGGGAUAACACCCUCCACUUGUGGAGGUCUGCAGGUACCGUGCGAAUAAGGGCCGGCUAAUUCCGUGCCAGCAGCCGCGGUAAUACGGAAGGCCCGAGCGAUAUCCGGAUUCAUUGGGCUUAAAGGGAGCGUAGGCGGGCGUUCAAGUCAGCUGUAAAAUCGCGCGGCUCAACCGCGCCCCGCCGUUGAAACUGGACGCAUUGAGUUCACAACAGGCAGGCGGAAUUCGUGGUGUAGCGGUGAAAUGCAUAGAUAUCACGAGGAACCCCGAUUGCGAAGGCAGCCUGCCGGGGUGCGACUGACGCUGAGGCUCGAAGGUGCGGGUAUCAAACAGGAUUAGAUACCCGAGUAGUC